AACGCACAUUGCGCCCGCCAGUAUUCUGGCGGGCAUGCCUGUUCGAGCGUCAUUACAACCCUCAAGUCCCCUGUGGACUUGGUGUUGGGGACCGGCGACACGCAGCUGUGUUUUUCUCACAGUUGGUUCGCCGCCCCCUAAAUGACUUGGCGGCCCCGUCUUAGGCUACCCCUCUGCGUAGUAGAACACACCUCGCAACAGGAAGCCCGGCGAAUGGCCACUGCCGUAAAACCCCCCAACUUCUUUCAGAGUUGACCUCGAAUCAGGUAGGAAUACCCGCUGAACUUAA
rnacentral:misc_RNA from 1 species